UUCGGGUGUAAAGCACUUUCAGUCGUGAGGAAGCGGGUACGUUAAUAGCGUAUUCGUUUGACGUUAGCGACAGAAGAAAGCACCGGCUAACUCCGUGCCAGCAGCCGCGGUAAUACGGAGGGUGCGAGCGUUAAUCGGAAUUACUGGGCGUAAAGCGCAUGCAGGUGGUUUGUUAAGUCAGAUGUGAAAGCCCGGGGCUCAACCUCGGAAUAGCAUUUGAAACUGGCAGACUAGAGUACUGUAGAGGGGGGUAGGAAUUUCAGGUGUAGCGGUGAAAUGCGUAGAGAUCUGAAGGAAUACCGGUGGCGAAGGCGGCCCCCUCGGACAGAUACUGACACUCAGAUGCGAAAGCGUGGGGAGCAAACAGGAUUAGAUACCCUGGUAG
rnacentral:rRNA from 1 species